CAGUAGCCGCGGUAAAACGUAGGGCGCAAGCGUUGUCCGGAAUUAUUGGGCGUAAAGAGCUCGUAGGCGGUCUGUCGCGUCUGGUGUGAAAUCCCGAGGCUCAACCUCGGGCUUGCAUCGGGUACGGGCAGACUAGAGUGCGGUAGGGGAGACUGGAAUUCCUGGUGUAGCGGUGGAAUGCGCAGAUAUCAGGAGGAACACCGAUGGCGAAGGCAGGUCUCUGGGCCGCAACUGACGCUGAGGAGCGAAAGCAUGGGGAGCGAACAGGAUUAGAUACCCCCGUAGUCCCUGUCUCUUAUAC
rnacentral:rRNA from 1 species